UUUGGGGGUGUCUUCCCUCCUCCUUACCCCCCUUGGGAUCGCCGGUGGAAAUCCGCUCCCACGUUCCAAAGCGCCUGGACUCUGACAGCCUCUGCUCCUUUUCCCCCUUCCCUUCGUAACGUGGAAAAGGUUGCUAAUGUGUCUUCCGAACAAACGGGUUUCAUUUCCCCCCCCAAGGGGUAGGCCUCCCCCCCCCCAGCCCCUUCCUAGUUUUUCCUUCCCUUUAGUUCAGCAAGAUCUGGACAAGACAAGGAAGGCCAAGGCAUCCACGUCGAGGACUCACUCAUCCCUGCAUUUUGCGUUCCUCCCUGACAUAAGGAUUAUAUUCCCAAGAAGCACUUCUUGAUUUUCAGUUUGGAAGCCUAUACAGACCAGGACAGCUUGUCUCCAUGCCACAGGCACUGCAGUACCAGAAUGCUCUUUUCUGCUUGCCACGGACAUGUAUCCAGCACUUUGACUUCCAAAACCUGAUUUGAGGGCCUGUAGGGCCUAUAUGCAGUAGUGUCCUUAUGGUUCUGAGGAGCCUGGCCUGCCUGGUAGCAAAAGUCUUUUGCCUGCCUGCAGACAAAGGAAUCCAGUCAAAUCAGAAGGAGUAUUCCAUUCCAAGGCCAGAAGUGGCAACAAAGAUGGAAAAUUUCAGAAUAGUGGACGUCUUAAAUCCGUCUUUGGAACACUGUUGUUGCUUACUGUGAAGGUAUGGUAAAUAGAACUCUAUUCAGGACACAUACACAUUGUCUCACACAUAUAGGCACAGUCAUGCCCCAUUCAGUUUCUCCCUGGUGUCUCUGGUCAUCGUCUGAUGUAGAGUCCUGGGUGUGAGAUAAGGCCAGGCCACUGAAUAUGUAUUUGUGUGCAUGACUCAUCAUCAGCUAAUUAUUAACAAAUUUAUAGCCUUGAUUUUUAUAAAUUUAUCCCAAGGCAGCUUCCAGUAUAUGAAAUACAGCCACAUUAAAAUAAGACUAGAGAUUCAAAAUGCAAAACAACCAUCAAAUUCAUAUUCAGCAUCAAAAUAAUAAAUUGCAUUAGCAAACAGUUUCCA
rnacentral:lncRNA from 1 species